AGGAGGAGGAAAGGUGGAUGCAAGGGUGCAACGAGGCAUUGGCCUCCAAUAAACUUUUCCAUUGUAGGAGAAUCUUUCGAUAUUAAAGAUGACCUGAUAGAAACAAGAAGAAGAGGAGAUGUGACAUACAGUGACAUAUUGCCAUGGCUAGAUUAUGCUGUCUCCAAAGAUCUCUCAGGAGGAAGCUUAUGGAUGGCUCAGGACAUCUCUCCCACAACCCAACAGCGACGUGUCCUCAGCCACUGCACUGAGCAGGUCCUGCAAUGAAGGAGUUGUGUUUAGUUCUUCUCUCUCUCUUCUUCCAUUCCCAUGUUCCACAGUCACCUGUCUGACCAGCCUCCACAGCUCUGGGAAGAGCAACAGGCAGGAUACCAACGUUUGUGUCCCCGAGAGAGGAGCCUUUCCACGAGUCACUCCAACCCAGAGAGAGCUGCUGAGUCCCUGCUGAGGGUCUGGGCAAGGCUCCCCACACUGCCAUGCCCACCAUGGGAGCUGUACAAGAGAGGGAAGGCUCUGGGUAAGUGCUCAAACCAACAUUUAUUAACGGUGCUAAUUAUUAAAAACUAAUGUAGUGUCCUCUCUUCAUCAUCUUCCCAAAUCUUUGGUUCCCCAUGAUGUUAGGAAAUGGAAUUAAAUGUUGCUUUUGAUUUUGAUGUGCUUUCUAACCUACAUAAAAGCAUAACCAUGACCAUAAGCUCAUGAACACUUUUUUGUGAGCUUCAGCCUGAUUCAGAUACCACAUCCUGAAACGUAAAUCAGAACUGAGAUACACUGGAAUAAAGCUGGUUUACGUUAGAGGGGAAAAAACAGACUCAGUUGGGUCUAAAUUACCCUAUUUCUUGCUGAAGUGCACAUCAGUUCCCCUUCCCAGGAAGGCAGGGAUUCUCCAGGACAUUAGCUGUUUCCUGUUGUGGAUAAGAUCUAUUUGCUGAACCUGCUGUAUGUUUGGAGGCCUCUUUCAAGAUGAUGUUUCAUGAAAUCAAGUGUAGGACAGUGCCCUCCCUCUCCCCACAGUGCAUUAGGGUUGAACUCACAGAAAUAAAACAGUUCUUGAAAAACACUUGGUGAAUCUACAUAAUUAAAAAUCUUUCCUGCUGGGGGUUAAUGAUUUGGGGAGAUUAACUUGAUAAUGUAAUGUAAAAUGUUGAAAUCAAGAGUGUGCAUCCAGAAAUACUGGUGCAGCCCUGCAAUGGGAGACAAUUUUAAGUAAAUAACCAGA